rnacentral:rRNA from 1 species
AUUGAACGCUGGCGGCAGGCCUAACACAUGCAAGUCGAACGAGUGGCGGACGGGUGAGUAAUGUCUGGGAAACUGCCCGAAGGAGGGGGAUAACUUCUGGAAACGGUAGCUAAAAUCGCAUAUUCCCGGAUAUGUCCAGAUGGGAUGAGCUCGUAGGUGAGGUAACGGCUCACCUAGGCGACGAUCCCUAGCUGGUCUGAGAGGAAGACCAGCCACACUGGAACUGAGACACGGUCCAGACUCCUACGGGAGGCAGCAGUGGGGAAUAUUGCACAAUGGGCGCAAGCCUGAUGCAGCCAUGCCGCGUGUAUGAAGAAGGCCUUCGGGUUGUAAAGUACUUUUAGCGGGGAGGCGUUAUCCGCAGAAGAAGCACCGGCUAACUCCGUGCCAGCAGCCGCGGUAAUAC